GGCGGCCAUGGCCCAGGUGAGACGCCCGGUCCCAUUCCGAACCCGGAAGCUAAGGCCUGGCACGGCGAUGGUACUGCACCCGACAGGGUGUGGGAGAGUAGCACGCCGCCGCAU
rnacentral:rRNA from 1 species